CCUACGGGGGGCUGCAGUGGGGAAUAUUGCACAAUGGGCGCAAGCCUGAUGCAGCCAUGCCGCGUGUGUGAAGAAGGCCUUCGGGUUGUAAAGCACUUUCAGCGGGGAGGAAGGCGUUAAGGUUAAUAACCUUGUCGAUUGACGUUACCCGCAGAAGAAGCACCGGCUAACUCCGUGCCAGCAGCCGCGGUAAUACAGAGGGUGCAAGCGUUAAUCGGAAUUACUGGGCGUAAAGCGCACGCAGGCGGUCUGUCAAGUCGGAUGUGAAAUCCCCGGGCUCAACCUGGGAACUGCAUUCGAAACUGGCAGGCUAGAGUCUUGUAGAGGGGGGUAGAAUUCCAGGUGUAGCGGUGAAAUGCGUAGAGAUCUGGAGGAAUACCGGUGGCGAAGGCGGCCCCCUGGACAAAGACUGACGCUCAGGUGCGAAAGCGUGGGGAGCAAACAGGAUUAGAUACCCUAGUAGUC
rnacentral:rRNA from 1 species